UACGAAGGGGGCUAGCGUUGUUUGGAAUCACUGGGCGUAAAGCGCACGCAGGCGGAUCGUUAAGUCAGGGGUGAAAUGCCGAGGCUCAACCUCGGAACUGCCUUUGAUACUGGCGAUCUUAGAGUCCGGGAGAGGUGAGUGGAACUCCGAGUGUAGAGGUGAAAUUCGUAGAUAUUCGGAAGAACACCAGUGGCGAAGGCGGCUCACUGGCCCGGUACUGACGCUCAGGUGCGAAAGCGUGGGGAGCAAACAGG
rnacentral:rRNA from 1 species